rnacentral:pre_miRNA from 1 species
AUCACCUGGGGAUCUUGUUAAAAUGCAGAUUCUGAUUCAGCGGGUCUGCUGCGGAGCCCGAGAGUCUGCAUUCUAACGAGCUCCCAGGUGGUGAGGG